rnacentral:rRNA from 1 species
GACGAACGCUGGAGGCGUGCUUAACACAUGCAAGUCGAACGAUGAAAUGGAGCUUGCUCCAUGGAUUAGUGGCGAACGGGUGAGUAACACGUGAAUAACCUGCCCUUAAUUUUGGAAUAACCCAGGGAAACCUGGGCUAAUACCAGAUAAGUAAACCUGUGGCAUCACAUGGUUUUGGAAAGUUUUUCGAUUAAGGAUGGAUUCGCGGCCUAUCAGCUUGUUGGUGAGGUAAUGGGUCACAAAGGCGACGACGGGUAGCCGGCCUGAGAGGGGGAACGGCCACACUGGGACUGAGACACGGCCCGGACUCCUACUGGAGGCAGCAGUGGGGAAUAUUGCGCAAUGGACGAAAGUCUGACGCAGCGACGCCUCGUGAGGGACGAAGGUCUUCGGAUUGUAAACCUCUUGCAGCAGGGACGAAGCGAAAGUGACGGUACCUGCAGAAGAAGCACCGGCUAACUAUGUGCCAGCCGCCGCCGUAA